UGCAGUUCGGCAGGAACGCUGCUGUGCAGCGGCGAGUCCUGGGAACAGCAGCAGCAGCAGGCGGCGGCGGCGGAGCAGACGCGGGGACGGUAGCGCGCUUGGGGGUCUGCGGACGGCGGUCUCGAUGGCGGGCAGGGGUGAAAAGAAGUUAGAAGAAGAGAUCAACAAUUUUGCCCAAGCAUUUUGUUCAAUUUGGAAGACAUGACAUUGAGAAAAGAAUGGGGACUAUGGAGUUAGAAGUGGAGUCAGUAUGGCCUUUCAGCUGUUAUUUUUGUUUCACUGGGAACAGGCCUGCAGAGCUUCUCAACUGCCAUUAUGGAAGUGGAACUCUCCUGAUGGGAAAGAUUUAACUGUGGUCAGAAUGUGAUAUGUGUAAGCACUUUUGUUUGCAAUGUAUUCCAAGCACCUAAAAUGGUCUG